UAAUGGCGGCGGCUACACAUGCAAGUCGAGCGAGCUCUUCGGAGCUAGCGGCGGACGGGUUAGUAACGCGUGGGAACGUGCCCUUCACUGCGGAAUAGCCACUGGAAACGGUGAGUAAUACCGCAUACGCCCUUCGGGGGAAAGAUUUAUCGGUGAAGGAUCGGCCCGCGUUAGAUUAGAUAGUUGGUGGGGUAACGGCCUACCAAGUCUACGAUCUAUAGCUGGUUUUAGAGGAUGAUCAGCAACACUGGGACUGAGACACGGCCCAGACUCCUACGGGAGGCAGCAGUGGGGAAUCUUGGACAAUGGGCGCAAGCCUGAUCCAGCCAUGCCGCGUGAGUGAUGAAGGCCUUAGGGUCGUAAAGCUCUUUCGCCAGAGAUGAUAAUGACAGUAUCUGGUAAAGAAACCCCGGCUAACUCCGUGCCAGCAGCCGCGGUAAUACGGAGGGGGUUAGCGUUGUUCGGAAUUACUGGGCGUAAAGCGCACGUAGGCGGAUCAGAAAGUUGGGGGUGAAAUCCCGGGGCUCAACCCCGGAACUGCCUCCAAAACUCCUGGUCUUGAGUUCGAGAGAGGUGAGUGGAAUUCCGAGUGUAGAGGUGAAAUUCGUAGAUAUUCGGAGGAACACCAGUGGCGAAGGCGGCUCACUGGCUCGAUACUGA
rnacentral:rRNA from 1 species